rnacentral:rRNA from 1 species
UACGUAGGGGUGCAGGCGUUUAAUCGGAAUUACUGGGCGUAAAGAGCUUGUAGGCGGUUUGUCGCGUCUGCUGUGAAAUUUCGGGGGCUCAACCCCCGAACUUUGCAGUGGGUACGGGCAGACUAGAGUGUGGUAGGGGGAGACUGGAAUUCCUGGUGUAGCGGUGAAAUGCGCAGAUAUCAGGAGGAACACCGAUGGCGAAGGCAGGUCUCUGGGCCAUAACUGACGCUGAGAAGCGAAAAGCAUGGGGGGAGCGAACAGG